GUUAAAAGCUAGGGCUAGGACUUGGAGGAUGUGUAGGCAAACGGAAGGAGAGCCGGGGGAAGAAAAACCGAAAUGGAUUCGUUCUCUGUCCUGGAUGGAGGAGGAGAGGAGAAGAGAAGGGGACGUGCGAGCUUCCUUCAACUGCCUCUGUCCGGUGAAAAGUGCUCAGACCCCCGGGACUGAGCGGGGCUCAGGAGUCCGCGCGGACUUUCGCUUUAAGCUGCCAAUCAAACCGCUAACUAGCCACCACCCUGCUCUGGCACCGACAU
rfam:Aptenodytes forsteri contig70850, whole genome shotgun sequence.